rnacentral:siRNA from 1 species
AAACACGGGUAUUAAACGGCCAA